UGCUGAGUGGCACAGUGGUUAAAAUGCUUGUCUUGAGUCCAAUGGCCUGGGUUCAAUUCCAGCUAUGCCA